GGCAGAUGGUCGGGGCUUUGGGAGCUGUCAGUGACCUGUGAGAAACAAAUUAUUAGCCUGAAAAUGAAGAAAUGCAGUUGCUGGAUGUUUGUACCUAUUAUACUUACUGUCUUUACAACAGUUGGAUUCUGGGCUACGUAUGUAAUUGCACAAGGAAGCAAAAAGAUUUGUAGUCUCGAUUUAUUGGAAUGG